rnacentral:rRNA from 1 species
GGCAGCGGGGUAGCAAUACCGCCGGCGACCGGCAAACGGGUGCGGAACACGUACGCAACAUACCCUGAACUGGGGCAUAGCCCGAAGAAAUUCGGAUUAACACCCCAUAAGAUGAUAGAGUGGCAUCACUUAGUCAUUAAAAAUUUAUUGGUUCAGGAUUGGCGUGCGUCCUAUUAGCUAGUUGGUGAGGGUAAUGGCCCACCAAGGCGACGAUAGGUAGCUGGUGUGAGAGCACGACCAGCCACACGGGCACUGAGACACGGGCCCGACUCCUACGGGAGGCAGCAGUGAGGAAUA